rnacentral:rRNA from 1 species
AUUGAGCGCUGGCGGCAUGCUUUACACAUGCAAGUCGAACGGCAGCGCGGGGGCAACCCUGGCGGCGAGUGGCGAACGGGUGAGUAAUGUAUCGGAACGUAUCCUGUAAUGGGGGAUAACCAGUCGAAAGAUUGGGUAAUACCGCAUACGCACGAGAGUGGAAAGUAGGGGAUCGCAAGACCUUACGUUAUAGGAGCGGCCGAUAUCUGAUUAGCUAGUUGGUGGGGUAAAGGCCUACCAAGGCGACGAUCAGUAGCUGGUCUGAGAGGACGACCAGCCACACUGGGACUGAGACACGGCCCAGACUCCUACGGGAGGCAGCAGUGGGGAAUUUUGGACAAUGGGCGAAAGCCUGAUCCAGCCAUGCCGCGUGCAGGAAGAAGGCCUUCGGGUUGUAAACUGCUUUAGUCUAGGAAAAAGGGGUGCGAGGUUAAUACCCUCGUGCUUUGAUGGUACUGGAAGAAUAAGCACCGGCUAACUACGUG